ACACAGAGCCCCUUUGGGCGUUUGCAGACAACAUUUGAAAUUUGCACAUCUUCUAUAGCUUAUAAAAGCCUACUUGGAAAAGCUAAACCCUGCCAAGCGAAGAAACCUUGAGUGGAAACCUCUCACUGAAAACAACAGUGUUGGAAAAGGGAAAGUUUUGCGGUAAGAGCUCUUGCACAAACCUGUUCAGCAAGAACGCAUCUACAUUUGAGAAGGGUUUGCAUAGUAUGCUAAGUAGAUCAAAACCACUUUGUCAAUAUUUUAAUACAAAAAGUGGUUGUAAAUUUAAAGAGAACUGUAAAUUCCUGCACUCCUCAACGAGUAUUUCCAAUUCACCUGCUCCAGAAAAGCAUGAUAAUGGAAAACCAGUAACUAAUUUGGAGGGAAAUUCUUCACUCUUGGAUACUUUUUCACAAUCAUUCUCCUUUGAAAAUCAGCAUCAUGAGGCUGUAAAAGAAAACAACACUCCAAAACCUUGUUUUUCCUUCGAGCGAUACGGAAACUGCAAGUAUGGAAAUAAUUGUCGCUUUCUGCAUGCAUUACCAUCAGAUGAAAAAGUAAAGACAUCAAAAUCUGCCAAAAGUUAUUUAGCAGACAAAAAGCCGCAGCAUGCAUCUAAGAAGACUAAACAUGAUAAGCAAGAUCAGGGACGAAGAAGAGUCUGCCACUUCUUUCAAGAGGGUCAUUGUCAGAAGGGUGACAAAUGUAGAUUUUAUCAUCCAAAUAGUGCCAAUAAAGUAGAGGUAUCAGAUGUCAUCCUACAAGGGGAUAAAGAGGAGUUAGAGAUAGUGAGGAGCAGCAAUGGUUCUGAAGAAGCGAACAAGACUGAUAGAGCAGCUGCUGUUGCUAACAAGAAAUAUGCACCAAGACCUGGUCAAAGGAGAGCUCCACAUAUACCAGUUCCGCCAGUAAAGGAACUUAAGAGGGAAAGUCUGCUUGAGAAAGAAAUUGAGGAGCUUCGACUGACAGAGAUUGAGCAGCUGAAGAAAAGGCUCGCAUCCUCAAACUUGGAUGUCAUUACCGAUGAUGAGAACAGUUUCUCCGUGCAGUUUAAUUUUUCAUCCACAGAUCCAGAUUGGCCAUAUGAUGUGGAAGUUUUCACCUUACAAGUCACCAUUCCAAGAGCCUACCCAUUGGAGAUGUUUAGUGUCAAAGUUCCUGAUGAACAACACCUACCGGAAACAGUGCGAAGGUUUAUGGAAACUUCUCUUGAGGAAUGGACAAAUACAAAACAGGCAGAACUGAUAUCAGCCGGGGUUGUCAGACUGGAGUUUAGACCGUUCUUAAAAUGGCUGGACAGAAACCUUGAAACAAUUGUAACAGGAGCACUAAGACAAUUGAAGAAAGAACUUGAAGCUAAGGCAGCUGGGUUACAGUUCAUUCCUGCAUCCAAACUUCAGGAAAAGGUCAAAGCUGGUGCUAGUGAUGAAGAUCAGGAGGAAGAUGAGGAAGACAGUGAGGAAGAUGAGGAUGAGAGCAACAUGUUUCGAGGAGUGGCUUAUAGGAAAAAAGAAGAAGACUUGGUGUACACAGGUAAAACUUGGUUUUAACUUCACAGAGUCUUUGAGAUUGAAAAUCUGACAAAUGGCAAUUAACAUGGACAUAAACUAGCCUACACUUUUUUCACUCCAAUUUGUUGUGUAAACAAACUUAUAAAUUUUUUUUAUAAGUAUAUUGACAUAUCAAAAGAAAUAGAGAUAUAUUUUAAAGAAAAUGACGUCAAUGAUAUCCUCUUAGGAUAACCAUUAUUUCUGAGGCUUUUGUUAGAAUGUAGUAAAAAUUAAACUUCAUUCACUAUGAUACUGUACUUGCGUGACAUAAUCAUUUGUAAUUUUUCUAGGUCCACAGCAGCAGGUCGAAGAAUCUGAAUCUGAGGAAGAAGACAACCUUAUCGAGUCUGCCAUCAAUGACACUAAACCGGAGAAAAAUGAGAGGCGAGGCACUGAAAUAAAACUGAGGAACCUGACCCUCAAGGAUAAUGCUUCAACCCUGACCUGCAUUACUCUCAAAGUCAUCAUACAGUGUGGUCGCUGCAAGAACAAAAUGGAUGUCACCACACCCUCAGGGAGGCCAAACAUGGUCACCUGUUUAAAGUGCAGCUACCCCCAGAUCCUGACCUUCCGCUCUGCCAUCAUGCACCAGUUUUCUUCUGUUGUUGGUUAUCUGGAUUUAGAUGGAUGCGUUCCGUUUGAUCUCAUCCUCCAGGAUUGUGUGUUCAAGCUGGGGUGCUUUAGCUGCAACAAGGAGAUGAAAGCCAAAUCAAUGGCCUUUGGACAAGUAACCGACACAUGGUGUGCAAGCUGUCACAGUAAAAUGAAAGUGUCUGCUGAGUCAGUCAGAUUUGCACAGCUUGUUCCCUCAGAACCAGUAACAGAUGAGAAAGGCUUGCACAAAGUUCCAGUUUUGAAGCCCAAAAAGAAAACAAAGGAGCCAGAGAUUCAGUUAGGGCGUCCACUACCUGCUGAUGGAACUUGUAAACACUACAAGAAAAGCUAUCGCUGGUUCAGGUUUCCUUGCUGUGGUAAGUGUUACCCAUGUGAUAUCUGCCACGAGGAGAAGGAAGGAGACCAUGAAAUGCUCCUGGCCACCAGAAUGAUCUGUGGGCAUUGUUGCAAGGAACAACCAUUUGCCAUGGAUAAAGCAUGUGUGGCCUGCAAGCAGUCAAUGACCCAAGUUCGCACCCAGCAUUGGGAGGGAGGCAAAGGAUGCAGAGACAAGAUCAAGAUGAGCAAGAAUGAUGCAAAAAAAUAUGCAGGCCAGUCAAAAACGGUGUCAAGGAAGACUCAAGAUAAACAGACAACUAAAAAGAAUACCAAGCUCCGUCACAACAGCAAAUAAUUCAGACAGUUGGUCGAAAACUCUAGCAUGUAAUGUAAAGCACACAAUCAAGUCAGAUUGCUAAUUAUCUGCUUAAUGCAGAAUUGUCCUAUACAAAAACUGUAUAGAAAUGUAGCCAAUUAUGUACAGUAUGUUAAACAGUUGAAAAGGAUGUUCUUGUACAUGUAUAUAGAAACUUGAUACAAAUCAUUGGGUUAGAUUUCCAUGUAACUAUAUAUACUGUGAAUGGACUGAAGAAUUUUGCAAGAUUUAGAGAUACAAUAAAAAAUUUUUGAAUUUG
rnacentral:misc_RNA from 1 species